CGCGGUAACGCGACCAACCUCGGAGACGUCGGCGAGAGUUCUGGGAAGAGUUCUCUUUUCUUUAUUAGAAGUGCAUCCACUCCCUCGAAUCGGCCUGUCCGGAGAUAGAAGGCUAGCCUCCGUAAAACACCACCCUUCUCGUGCUAUCCGGAACGCUCUUGUCGACCCUUGAAAAUCCGAGCGAGAUAGUAU
rnacentral:ncRNA from 1 species